CUCUAUGGCCUUACCACCCUGUAUGCACUGGAUCUCAUAUGGCCUUGGAAGCUAAGCAGGGUCUGGCCUGUUAAGUACUUGGAUGGGAGAAAGGAUGGAACCGCUACAGGAACCUUGGUAA
rfam:Fukomys damarensis contig123897, whole genome shotgun sequence.